UACGAAGGGUGCAAGCGUUAAUCGGAAUUACUGGGCGUAAAGCGUGCGCAGGCGGCUUUGCAAGACAGAUGUGAAAUCCCCGGGCUCAACCUGGGAACUGCAUUUGUGACUGCAAGGCUAGAGUACGGCAGAGGGGGAUGGAAUUCCGCGUGUAGCAGUGAAAUGCGUAGAUAUGCGGAGGAACACCAAUGGCGAAGGCAAUCCCCUGGGCCUGUACUGACGCUUAU
rnacentral:rRNA from 1 species